UGGUAAAUAGAGGCAAUUCUCGUCCUGCGUCGUCACACAUUCUCCUUUGUGGAGCGAUAGCGUCAACUAUUCUGAGACACCGAAUUCGUUACGAAUAAUUAUUAUAGCUAUUACUAUGCAUGUACGGCUGAGCGACACGAUCGAGCGUAUCGAAGUGACGGCUGAAAUAUGUAUGUACAUAUUUUACGAGGGAUGUAUUGUGCGUAAAAAACUGGUAUAGAGUUAAACUACAUCGAAGUCUUCAUCAGAGUGUUCUAGUGCGUCAUUUAGGAUACGUUGCUUUGGCACUUACAGCGCUUUGAUCCGCCGUCUUCAUCAGACAUUAAUUUGUCAUGCAUUGUACACGGGACUGAAGUUAUUGACACUAUAUUUGAAUCUUGUUUCCGGGAUAUCACUGAAGCUGAGAGGAGAUGAUGAUCCAGAGAGACAUCA